rnacentral:rRNA from 1 species
CAGUCGCCACGGUAAUACGGAGGGUGCAAGCGUUACUCGGAAUCACUGGGCGUAAAGGACGCGUAGGCGGAUUAUCAAGUCUCUUGUGAAAUCUAACGGCUUAACCGUUAAACUGCUUGGGAAACUGAUAAUCUAGAGUAAGGGAGAGGCAGAUGGAAUUCUUGGUGUAGGGGUAAAAUCCGUAGAGAUCAAGAAGAAUACCAUUGCGAAAGCGAUCUGCUGGAACUUAACUGACGCUAAUGCGUGAAAGCGUGGGGAGCAAACAGGAUUAGAUACCCCAGUAGUCCCUGUCUCUUAUACC